GGCGGCGGCCCUCGGCCGUCGCAGGGCGGGGCUGGAAGCGCGGACUCGUGCCCCAUGGCCGCCGAGCAGGAGCCGGGCGAGCCCGGGAAGGGAAAGGUAAAAUUAGAAGAUCAUGUGAUGUUGGAGUAGGAGGAUUUUUCUUAGUGACUUUAGGAUGCUGGUUCCACUGUAGGUAUAACUAUGCAAAACAAAGAAUCCAGGAAAGAAUUGCCAGAGAAGGAAUUAAAAAUAAGAUUUUAUAUGAAAGUACCCACCUUGAUCCUGAAAGAAAACAAACCAAUGGCAACAGCAGCAGCUGAGCAAUCUCAGGCAUAGAACACCCGAAUACAACGAAGUCAGUGUGAAAAAAGCUGAGAGCAACUAUAAAAAAACCUACCUAUUAUGUACCAUAAAGCCUUCAAUCAAGUAAAUAAUUUGUGUAAAUUGUAUUUUAUUUACCUACUGCCACUAUGUCAUAUAGUGAACUAUGCUUAGAAGUGUUUCCUUGAACUAAAUAGUGAGCAUACAUGACAACAUCAAGAAAUAAAUCUCUCCCAAUUACAAUUUUAGAAUGAGUGUAUGUGUACUUCCUGGUUUCUAAUGUCAAUGUAUAAGACUUAAACGUAAUGGACUAUCACUCUGCAAAUUGCUGUUUUAAAAUUUACUUGGUGCAUUAAAAUAUUUUCAGAAUUGUCUAAUGCAAAGAAAACACACUACAGGAUUACAUUAAUGUAAAAGACAUAACGAUUCAGUGGCUGCCAUAAAAAACAAUAAAGCACCCCAACACCCAACCAAAUCAGUCUUUAUUCAGGGAAAAAAAAAUCUCCCUUUCCAAACC